rnacentral:lncRNA from 1 species
CGCGCCGGGGUGAUGCUGGGCGCACGCCGCUGCUCCCGCUCCCGCUCCCGGCCGGGUGUCUCCUUCACCUGACCCGGCAGCCCCGCGCGCAGCCCGCACCUGCCGCGUUAAUAAUGCACUAGAAUGUCAGCGCUGAAAAAGGUUCUGCCUGGCAUACUGCAGAAGCAUUGCUGUAUUUUACCCGACAGGAACACAGAUACGAAUUGCUGACUGUGUAACAAGAGAUGAACUGGAGAAAGGUCUGGAGGGAAUUUUACAUAUGUCCUAGUCAUGAGAAACUUCGCAAAAAGCUUGUGAAGCUGCCCACAGAUUUGAAGCUGUGAGAAAUCUGAAAUGCCAUGGGUGACUAUGUGACGCUGCUCAAAACUGCUGAGGUUAAUGGACUGCAUGUCAAGAAUGAGAAGUGCACCUCAUCCAGUACCUUCAUUAAUUUAGAA